rnacentral:tmRNA from 3 species
GGGGAUGAUCGGCCUAGACAGGCGAUUCCCUCUUGUAGGUGCUAUGCCGAGAAUACUCGAGAUCUCGUUAAACCUCGAGUACCAACCUAGUUGCAAAAAACAACCUCGUUGCAAAAGCAAAGUCAAUUGUUUCACCUUUCUUUAAGGCGAACGACUUUGCUCCUACUUACGCUUUAGCCUAAGUAGCAUUCGCGCUCAAUACGCCCUCUAGGGAGUUGCGGGUGAUAUAAAAAGAGGGCUCAUCGCUUUGAAUGACUCUACGAAGUGAAAAAACAUAGAGCAUCGAUAGUGUAUAAUUUAGAAUACUUUAUAUAUACAUUAUUUAAACCCAAAAGAAGUAUUCUACGCAUAGUAGAUUCCCACAAGAGCAUCGUCUGCACGGGGGUUCGAUUCCCCCCAUCUCCACAU